CAGUCGCCGCGGUAAUACGAAGGGUGCAAGCGUUACUCGGAAUUACUGGGCGUAAAGCGUGCGUAGGUGGUGGUUUAAGUCCGUUGUGAAAGCCCUGGGCUCAACCUGGGAAUUGCAGUGGAUACUGGGUCACUAGAGUGUGGUAGAGGAUAGUGGAAUUUCCGGUGUAGCAGUGAAAUGCGUAGAGAUCUGGAGGAAUACCGGUGGCGAAGGCGGCCCCCUGGACAAAGACUGACGCUCAGGUGCGAAAGCGUGGGGAGCAAACAGGAUUAGAGACCCCGGUAGUCCCUGUCUCUUAUAA
rnacentral:rRNA from 1 species